GGAGGGGUGGCCGAGUGGUUUAAGGCGCCUGUCUUGAAAACAGGUACUCCUGAUCGGAGUCAUGGGUUCGAAUCCCAUCCCCUCCG
rnacentral:tRNA from 1 species